GAUGAUAUCUAGCCCUUUAGUUUUGAGGUUGGUGUACUGUGUGUGAGUUUAUAUAUUUAUCACUUGCAGUCACUAUCUUCAAAAGUGAGGGUGCACAUC
rnacentral:pre_miRNA from 14 species